CAUUACUGUAAAAAAAUCUGAAUUUUUUCUUUCUUUACAGGGCUGAUAUAUAGAUAGCUACCAUACACCGAUUACUUGAGUUCCUCCAGUGGUUGUCUGCCCUUUCUCCAGACUAGAUCAUCUUAUUUACUUUCAACUUAUUGAAACUUCUACUGCCUGCUUAGAAUAAUUUUCUACCAAUCGUCUGAAUCUCAAGCUCACUAACGGUACCGCCCAUCGAAACUUAAAGAUUCUUAUGUUUAUUAAACUCCGUUUUACGUUAAUGAUUAAAAAUCAUUAAUCAUAUAGAUAAGAAUUACUAGAAAUCAAUUAUAUACGAAUUUAUAUCAGAAAAUGACGCGCUAAAAGUUAAAAUCAAUAAGAAAAAAACGUUAGUUAGAGUGAUUUAUGUGACUCAAGCAGAAUAAAAUUUUCUACUCUGAUAAAAUGAUUGAUAAGAUAAAAAUAGAACGAAAAUAAUUGAUACAUCAAUCAAUUUAUAAAAGUAUAUUUAUAUUUAUUAACGCAUUAUAGUAAUCUACUGUUAAUAUUAAUUGACAGAAAUAGUCUAGAAGCGACGUUUGGUCUGGUCUUUCUAGUUAUUUAAAAACUUUAUUUUAAAAGUAUUACGUACGCUCAUACCAAAGCCGAUAUAUACGAAUUCCUUAUAGGCGGUUUGAUAAAUAAUUCAUGGCGUUCUACGAAAUAUCAGUGAAAUUCAAAAAAAUAUUUUGCUAUUCAAGAAGAUAACAGCAAUAAAAGCAUGUAAUCGUGAAAAACAUUCUAAAAAUAAAUCUUCAAUACAUAUAAACAUAUAAACAUCUUUGUAAUAUAUAUUUAGAAAAGAAAUAUAUUUUUCAAGGAUUUUUAUUAUCGAUUGUGGUUGUUUUAUUUUUCUUCAUACAUAAGAGAUGUGUAUAAAUUUAUCAAUACCUUCUUGAAUGGGUCACAAAGAAAGAUAAGUUUUUAAGCGAGCAUUACUAAAUUUUUUUUUCUUGCGUAAUACUUAUUCCCGAUUGUGAGUAUAUUCUCGCAUUAAACUACUUUUUUUUAAAGCAUAAAUAACAAUUUACUAAAAAAAACUAAUAAAAAAGAUAACAUAAUUUAAAAAUGAAACGAAUUUUGAAAUUAAACAGCCAAAGUUGUUCAGAUAAGAUAAAGAAAAAUGAAACAAACAACUCGGAUAAAAACAAUAUUUGUUUUUCCUAUAAUUCUGUUGUAUCGCAAGAACAAAAAAUGACUCAAAGACUCAAAUCAAGUGCUUGAUUAU